CUCACAGAAGAUUGUAAUUUAACCUAGCCAGCCUCAAUUUAACAAGAUGAGGAACAUCAUUCUGUUGAUUCUGAUGCUGCACUGCGGCCAAGCCAGCAUUCUUGGUAAAAGUGUUGUCCAGACUCCUUCUGAUCUCCUGAAGAAAGAAAAUGAAGUUGCCGAGAUCAAAUGUACAAACAAUGUCCAAAACUAUGAUGUCACACAAUGGUACAAGCAAAGCCAGAUCACCAAGGACCUUCAGUUCAUGGGAUACCUGAAUAUUAAACAAGUGGUCAAGGAGAAUAAAUUUAAUGACAAGAUCAAACUGGAUGGAGAUGGAAGAAAUAAUGUCACUCUGACUAUCAACACGCUCACAGUGAAUGACAGUGCAGUGUAUUUCUGUGCAGCGUAUUACACAGUGCUCAGAGUCACUUCUGUCUGAUACAAAAACUGCACGAUUAUCAGUGACUGCAGAUUCACUCCCACUUUGCACCUGGACUAGUGGUUCAGUGAGUCUAAUGCAUACAAGUAUAGCUUAGCA